AGCAGCCGCGGUAAUUCCAGCUCCAAUAGCGUAUAUUAAAGUUGUUGCAGUUAAAAAGCUCGUAGUUGAAUUUCGGGAUCAAUACGUCGGUCGUGCUUAGGUACGUACUGGCGUAAUUGAUUUCUCCCUUCUGACGAACCAUGAUGUCAUUAACUUGGUGUCAUGGGAAAUCAGGACUGUUACUUUGAAAAAAUUAGAGUGUUUAAAGCAGGCUCACGCUUGAAUACAUUAGCAUGGAAUAAUGAAAUAGGAUGUUUGAUUCUAUUUUGUUGGUUUCUAGGAUCGACGUAAUGAUUAAUAGGGAUAGUUGGGGGCAUUAGUAUUCAAUUGUCAGAGGUGAAAUUCUUGGAUUUAUUGAAGACUAACUACUGCGAAAGCAUUUGCCAAGGAUGUUUUCAUUAAUCAAGAACGAAAGUUAGGGGAUCGAAGACGAUCAGAUACCGUCGUAGUCUUAACCAUAAACUAUGCCGACUAGGGAUCGGAUGAUGUAAUUUUUAAUGA
rnacentral:rRNA from 1 species